UACGAGGGGGGCGAGCGUUGUUCGGAAUUAUUGGGCGUAAAGGGUGCGUAGGCGGUUUGGUAAGUCUGAUGUGAAAUCUAUGGGCUCAACUCAUAGUCUGCAUCGGAAACUGCAGGGCUAGAGUGUGGGAGAGGUGAGUGGAAUUCCUGGUGUAGCGGUGAAAUGCGUAGAUAUCAGGAGGAACACCUGUGGCGAAAGCGGCUCACUGGACCAUAACUGACGCUGAUGCACGAAAGCUAGGGGAGCAAACAGG
rnacentral:rRNA from 1 species